rnacentral:rRNA from 1 species
GCUACUGCUAGCCCAACUCACUCUUAAUUAAACUAUAGAAUCAAAUUUUAAAUUAAAUCAUUUAAUCGCAUAUCAAAGUAUAGGAGAUAGAAAUGAUACACUGGCGCUAUAGAGAAAGUACCGUAAGGGAAAGAUGAAAGAAGAAAAGUAUAAGUAUAAAAAAGCAAAGAUUAACCCUUGUACCUUUUGCAUAAUGGAUCAACUAGAAUCAAUCUAGCAAAGAGAACUGGGUUAGACCCCCCGAAACCAAACGAGCUACCUAAGAGCAAUUUUCUGAAUGCACCCGUCUAUGUGGCAAAAUAGUGGGAAGACUUUUAGGUAGAGGUGAAAAGCCUAACGAGCUUGGUGAUAGCUGGUUGUCCAGAGAAAGAAUAUUAGUUCAACUAUAAACUUGCCCAAAGAAUUUUUAAUCCCCCUGCAAGUUUAACUGUUAUUCUAAAGAGGGACAGCUCUUUAGACAAAGGAUAAAACCUCUAUUAGAGAAUAAGAACCUAAUCUAACAUAGUUGGCCUAAAAGCAGCCACCAAUUAAGAAAGCGUUAAAGCUCAAACUUAACAACACCUCCCCUAAUACCUCAAUUAUAAACGAAUUCCUAUCACCCAACUGGACUAAUCUAUAAACUUAUAGAUGAAAUAAUGUUGGUAUGAGUAACAAGAAAGUAUCUUUCUCCUAGCACAAGCGUAUAUCAGCUCGAAUAACUCACUGAUAGUUAACUCAAAAUGAAUAGACACCCAUAAAUAAACAAACUUUUCUAUACAUAGAGUUAACCCAACACAGGAGUGCAUUAAGGAAAGAUGAAAAGAAGUAAAAGGAACUCGGCAAACACGAGCCCCGCCUGUUUACCAAAAACAUCACCUCUAGCAUAAAAAGUAUUAGAGGCACUGCCUGCCCGGUGACUUACGUUAAACGGCCGCGGUAUCCUGACCGUGCAAAGGUAGCAUAAUCAUUUGUUCCUUAAUUAGGGACUAGCAUGAAUGGCAAGACGAGGGUUCAACUGUCUCUUACUUCCCAUCAGUGAAAUUGACCUUCCAGUGAAGAGGCUGGAAUAAAACAAUAAGACGAGAAGACCCUAUGGAGCUUUAAUUUAUUAAUUCACCAGUCCUAAAACUUACCCCAAGGGGAUAACCAUUACUUAAGACUGCCUGAAUUAAUGAUUUUGGUUGGGGUGACCUCGGAGCACAAAAAAACCUCCGAAUGGAUAAAACAGAGACUUACCAGUCAAUAUUAUUAAUUCAACUUAUUGACCCAAAAACAAUUUGAUCAACGGACCAAGUUACCCUAGGGAUAACAGCGCUAUCCUAUUUAAGAGUCCAUAUCGACAAUAGGGUUUACGACCUCGAUGUUGGAUCAGGACAUCCCAAUGGUGCAGAAGCUAUUAAAGGUUCGUUUGUUCAACGAUUAAAGUCCUACGUGAUCUGAGUUCAGACCGGAGUAAUCCAGGUCGGUUUCUAUCUAUUAGCAAUUUUUCCCAGUACGAAAGGACCAGAAAAAUAGAGCCUCCUAAAUCACUAGCGCCCUUAGAAUAAUAGAUGAAAUAAUCUUAAUCUAGAAACUAUGCCCAACCCUUACCCAAGAUAAGGGUUC